rnacentral:rRNA from 1 species
UGGGGAAUAUUGGACAAUGGGCGCAAGCCUGAUCCAGCAAUGCCGCGUGUGUGAAGAAGGCCUUCGGGUUGUAAAGCACUUUUAUCGGGAGCGAAAUACCAUUGGUUAAUAACCGGUGGGGCUGACGGUACCCGAGGAAUAAGCACCGGCUAACUUCGUGCCAGCAGCCGCGGUAAUACGAAGGGUGCAAGCGUUAAUCGGAAUUACUGGGCGUAAAGGGUGCGUAGGCGGUUUGUUAAGGCGGUCGUGAAAUCCCCGGGCUCAACCUGGGAAUGGCGAUGGAUACUGGCAAGCUAGAGUGUGUCAGAGGAUGGUGGAAUUUCCGGUGUAGCGGUGAAAUGCGUAGAGAUCGGAAGGAACAUCAGUGGCGAAGGCGGCCAUCUGGGACAACACUGACGCUGAAGCACGAAAGCGUGGGGAGCAAACA